rnacentral:tRNA from 1 species
GGGCGAGUGAUGGAACCGGUAUACAUCUACGCUUGAGGAGCGUAGGCCAUUUGGCAUGAGGGUUCGAGUCCCUCCUCGCCCACCA